CAGUUUUAACUCAUCAAAGGCAAGCCUUCAUUUAUGAUAAGAGCAAUUGAAAAAAUCACUAUCAAUGUAGGCGGCUCCUUUUGGAGGAUUUAAGCAGUCCGGUCUUGGACGAGAAGGGUCCAAAUAUGGGAUUGAUGAAUACCUGGAAAUUAAAUAUGUGUGCUUGGGGAACAUGGACUGUGCAUGAUACAAAAUGUAGUUACUACUGUUAGAUGAGGAAAGCAACAAAGAUGUUCCUGAAGAGCUUGGAUCCAAACCAUAGCACUCUAAAAGCCUUAUUAAGAUCUUUGUAGCUUAAGCAUUAAGCAUUGAAAUAAUGGUGUACUAGUGCAUUGUAACUUAAGGUCAGAGUGCCCUUUGCAUGCAGGUGUUAAACGGUAAACUUGGGUUUGUGUUAACUUAAUUUUCAGACUAACUAUUCUUCUUUUUGACAAUGCAUGAGUUAUAAACCAAAUGCAAGUGGAGGGAGAGCGAUAAUUACGAGGAUUAGAUACC